GUUACCGUUCUCUGCACGUUACCCCAUUAAUUAGUACAUAAUUAAAUUGUAAUUGUUGUUAACCCCUCAAAAGAUACCACCUGAAAUAUGAGCAGCCUAUAUCUAUAAAUAAUGAACAUGUACUGGAUUAUCGAGAUAGAGAUUGCUGACAAACCUUACAAUUGAUGCGGUUGUGUUCAUCCCUACUGAAAUGAGUCAGGAGUCAAAAUAUUAGUUCAGUGUAAAUUCACAUUUCCAACAGAACGUUAUGGUGUCAAUGACUGAUGAGUUUAUCCAUAUUCAAAUGACUCCAAAAUCAAAAUAUUUUUGUGAAUAUAAACUUAUCUUGCCACAUGUGUGAUUUUUGGAUUGAAAUGUAUCAUAAAGAGGCCAUUUCACACAAUAUAUGAAAAGAUAUUGAAAUAUAGUAAUCAAUAAAUAAUUUUCAUUAACCUGCUCUUAUGGUAUAUAAUAAUCUUAUAAGAUAACCAGUCCUGAUUUAUUUUUUUGUAUUUAAUUUGUUUAUGUAUGUGAGUAUUAGUAGAAAGUAAUCAGAAUCAUGCCUACAUUACUCUUAUUCUCUUAGUUUUACCCAGUGUAUUACCCCCAAAAAUAACAAUUUAUAAAAAU